rnacentral:rRNA from 1 species
UUAAGGUGGUUUUAGCAACAGGGUUCCACCUCUUCCCAUUCCGAACAGAGAAGUUAAGCCUGUUAGCGCCGAUGGUACUGCGUAAAAGCGGGAGAGUAGGUCGCCGCCGACC